UCAUGACUCAGAGCUGCUGCUACAGCAACUUCACCCACAGCUACCAUGACUUUGAUCCCCGUCUUCAUCUGGUCACUGAUCUUCUGGACUCAAGAAUGCAGAGGUCAAGUCACAGUAACUCAGACUCCUGCAGUGAAAUCUGCUCUUCCAGGAGAAACAGUCACCAUCAACUGUAGAACCAGUCAGGCAGUGUACAAGGACUCAUCUGGUCAGUGGUUACACUGGUAUCAGCAGAAACCUGGAGAAGCUCCUAAACUCCUGAUUAAAUAUGUGAAUCAGUUACAGUCAGGUUUUCCAGCUCGUUUCAGUGGCAGUGGAUCUGGAUCUGAUUUCACUCUGACCAUCAGUGGAGUCCAGACUGAAGAUGCAGGAGAUUACUACUGUCAGAGUUACCAUUCCAUCACUGGCUACUGGUUCACACAGUGUUAUAGAGUCGUACAAAAACCUCCCUCAGUCAGAUUGUAGAGAGACUGCACUGCUGCAGCUGGGAGCGACUGCAGGUGCUGAGUUGGAGGAUGUGAUACGAUACAAUGACACUCUGUGGAGGAGAGGAACCUCACCACACUAACUCACAACUCACAUUAGAAAUCUCUCAAUAAUCAUCACACCACACUGCACACAGUCCAUCAAAUCCACUACUUUAAGAUAAUUUGUUUUUUUAGUUUGCUGAGGUGCUAUUUGUCAUAACUGAAACUGUUUGGUGGAUAAUUUUUUUUUUCAGUCUCUAUCACUAAUCCUGCCCCCAUUACAGUCUCCGAUUCUGACCUGAUAUCAGUCACUGUUAUUAAUCUAGUUGCAGCCUCAAUCUGUGUGUCUGUCUUGUGUGUGUUUCAGGUCACACUCUGGCCCUGCUACAGAUUCUGGCUCAGUCACUGGUGUAGCUCCUCCUGUCCUUUAACAGCUGCCCUCUAACACACAAUAGUGUAAACUUUUUUGGACCAGGUCUUCAUCCAUCCUUCAUCAGCUCUAGAUAUCAGCAUUACCAUUUCUAUCUGUUCCUGUCAUUACAGAAGUUUCGUGUCCAGUUUUUCUCACCUGUUGUCCUGUUCUGUUGUACUCCUAGUGCACUUUGAGUUCUUCUGUGUAACUAUGUGUAUGUUAUUAAGAUUCUGAGUCUUUAUGAGGAAAAGUAAUUAGAUUUCAUUCAGUUUUAUAUGAAAGAAGUUUGUAAGAAAACGUAUCAACACUAGCCUGCCCCUAAUCCUAACCAUAGCCACUAAUUUUUGUGACACUGUAUGAGACCACACUGAAAUAAUACACAUCCUGCUCUCUACUUUUAGCUCAAGUCAUUCACCUUUCAUUUUUACACACUUGUGUACAUUUAUGUAUGGACAUAUUGUAACUUUGAUUAGUUAC